GACGAACGCUGGCGGCGUGCCUAAUACAUGCAAGUUGAGCGAUGAAGAUUGGUGCUUGCACCAAUUUGAAGAGCAGCGAACGGGUGAGUAACGCGUGGGGAAUCUGCCUUUGAGCGGGGGACAACAUUUGGAAACGAAUGCUAAUACCGCAUAACAACUUUAAACAUAAGUUUUAAGUUUGAAAGAUGCAAUUGCAUCACUCAAAGAUGAACCCGCGUUGUAUUAGCUAGUUGGUGAGGUAAAGGCUCACCAAGGCGAUGAUACAUAGCCGACCUGAGAGGGUGAUCGGCCACAUUGGGACUGAGACACGGCCCAAACUCCUACGGGAGGCAGCAGUAGGGAAUCUUCGGCAAUGGACGAAAGUCUGACCGAGCAACGCCGCGUGAGUGAAGAAGGUUUUCGGAUCGUAAAACUCUGUUGGUAGAGAAGAACGUUGGUGAGAGUGGAAAGCUCAUCAAGUGACGGUAACUACACAGAAAGGGACGGCUAACUACGUG
rnacentral:rRNA from 1 species